UGGGGAAUAUUGCACAAUGGGCGCAAGCCUGAUGCAGCCAUGCCGCGUGUAUGAAGAAGGCCUUCGGGUUGUAAAGUACUUUCAGUCGGGAGGAAGGUGGUAAGGUUAAUAACCUUGGCAAUUGACGUUACCGACAGAAGAAGCACCGGCUAACUCCGUGCCAGCAGCCGCGGUAAUACGGAGGGUGCAAGCGUUAAUCGGAAUUACUGGGCGUAAAGCGCACGCAGGCGGUUGAUUGAGUCAGAUGUGAAAUCCCCGGGCUUAACCCGGGAAUUGCAUCUGAUACUGGUCAGCUAGAGUCUUGUAGAGGGGGGUAGAAUGCCAUGUGUAGCGGUGAAAUGCGUAGAGAUGUGGAGGAAUACCGGUGGCGAAGGCGGCCCCCUGGACAAAGACUGACGCUCAGGUGCGAAAGCGUGGGGAGCAAACAGG
rnacentral:rRNA from 1 species